rnacentral:rRNA from 1 species
GACGAACGCUGGCGGCGUGCUUAACACAUGCAAGUCGAACGGAAAGGCCCUGCUUUUGUGGGGUGCUCGAGUGGCGAACGGGUGAGUAACACGUGAGUAACCUGCCCUUGACUUUGGGAUAACUUCAGGAAACUGGGGCUAAUACCGGAUAGGAGCUCCUGCUGCAUGGUGGGGGUUGGAAAGUUUCGGCGGUUGGGGAUGGACUCGCGGCUUAUCAGCUUGUUGGUGGGGUAGUGGCUGACCAAGGCUUUGACGGGUAGCCGGCCUGAGAGGGUGGACGGCCACAUUGGGACUGAGAUACGGCCCAGACUCCUAUGGGAGGCAGCAGGGGGGAAUAUUGCACAAUGGGCGGAAGCCUGAUGCAGCAACGCCGCGUGCGGGAUGACGGCCUUCGGGUUGUAAACCGCUUUCGCCUGUGACGAAGCGUGUGUGACGGUAAUGGGUAAAGAAGCACCGGCUAACUACGUG